rnacentral:tRNA from 1 species
UUGCGCUGAAUGGUAAGGCAGCGGAUUGCUAAUCCGUAGGGGUUAAUAGCCCCUUGUGGGUUCGAGUCCCACACCCUC